rnacentral:lncRNA from 1 species
GGGUUCUCAACACCUCUUCAAGAAGCUUGAAACUGGACAAGACAGAGCAUACACUAACACAGGGUUCCUGUAACAGUGGGAAGAAGCCUGGAGGACAAGCGGG